CCAUUUCCAUACAAGCAACCAUUGAGAAUGCGCCGCAGCGAUUGUUUCCUUUUCCGCUCGGGUCGCCGCCGCGCUUAAAUCAUGCACAAUUUGCCCCAACCCGGGGCGGUAUUGGGUUUUCGCCUUUCAGGUUGAGGUCCACAACCCCUUCUCAGCCGCAUCCACCGCCAUGAAUUGCUGUGAAAAUCCCGUGGGUCGGGUCGUCUGCCCCAUGCCCCGCCGCCCCAAUGCCCACUCCACUCGUACCCUCGUUUUCCCGAUGAGUUUUGUGUUUCUUAUUUUCCCUGUAAGAACAGUAAUUCCAGUGAGGGGAUUGAUUCGAAAACCGACGCGAGUCUUGUUGAUCUCGCUUUGAAGAAGAUUGAUCGGGAAUUUGGUUACUCUUUCACUGCUCACAAGUUUAGCAUGGGAUACAUAAAAUGCAUCUUGGCAUUGCAUAUCUACUUCGUUCCCCCUCUAACACAGUUGCUGUGUACUGUUGCCAAACAGGACAGUGUAGUUGCAAUGCAGUCAAUAUCCCAAUUGUCAUCAUCACCCCCGUUCUUCUCUGGAUCGCCACCCUGCAGGACAAAUAACCCUCUAAUCCAUGAUACUUGCUUCAGAAACGAGAAGCGAGUGAGUAUACCAUUACCACAAAGUCCGCCCCUUUCUGGUAUAUCCUCUCCAUCAUCAGCUCGCAAAUCAGCAUGCACAAGGGCAAGGCUUGGCCAACAACAAUCACCGGUUAGAGUAGAAGGCUUUGACUGCCAAAAUUCUCGCCUGGCAGGUAUUGCUUAGAUUUCAGUGGUUGUUAUUGUUAGUGCAUCAGUAUUAAAUAAACCCCGAAUUUUGGUGUAUAUAAUCAUUGUAAUUUUCAUUUAUAAGCAAGCAGUGUAAAUAUGUUGUGUGGAUGAACAAACAAGUGAUAUUUUGAUUAUUUUUCUCAACGGACAUCAGAACAAGAAAAUGUGGAGAUAUUGAAGAUGA